rnacentral:rRNA from 1 species
CACGUAGGGUCCGAGCGUUGUCCGGAAUUACUGGGCGUAAAGCGUGCGCAGGCGGUUGGGUCAGUCGCUGGUGAAAGCCCCACGCUCAACGUGGGAAUGGCCAACGAGACGGCCCGACUGGAGGCAGGGAGAGGCCGGUGGAAUUCCGGGUGUAGUGGUGAAAUGCGUAGAUAUCUGGAGGAAUACCGGUGGCGAAGGCGGCAUCCUGGACCGACAUUGACGCUGAGGAGCGAAAGCUAGGGGAGCAAACGGGG